GGGGUCAUGAGGAAAAGGAAAUAGGAAGUGACAGGAAGGAAGAGCAUCGAGGAAACUGCUUCCCAGGAACCCAGAGGCCCACACCAGCUCCCACUGCCACCACCAAGGUUAUGUUAUGCUCACCAGCCUCAGACUCUGUGUCUACAAAACAGGAAUGCAGAGGAGAGCUGCUGUGAGAACCUGCUGACCCACCCUACACCAAAUCCUGGGCUUGCAAUCAGUCCAGGUUCACGGAGGUCCUGCUGCACAGCGUGUGACUGGUCCCAUGCUGGGCACUUCAGCCCAAGAGAUAACAAGACACAGGGGGCAGCCCGGAGGACACUCAGGGCCAUAAGGAGACAGACAGGGGUUCGAAUCUCUUGGAGCCAACCCAGUGGUGACAAGUACACUUAGGUUCUGGGGAGGACAGUAAGGAGGGGGGUACUGUGUAGGGAAGGAUGAAGUGGGGAGCAGAAAGGUCCAGAGAGGGAACAACACAGGCAAAGCACAGAAUGAAGAGCCAUACCAAAGAGAAAGGAGAGAGAGAGGCUGUGCCUGCCAAGCAGGUGACUGAGGACAGGGAGAUCCGGAAUGCCUGGGGAUGGCAGGAAGGAGGAGGAGAAAACGGAGACUCCAAGAAGUUGAGUAAUUCGUCAGCAUGCAAAUUUUAUGCCUUUCUUGUUCAAUUUAUUCCUGGUUAUUUGAUGCUAAUGCAAAUUGGGAAUUGUUCUCAUAUUUUCAUUUUCAGAGUGCUUGAUAAUG
rnacentral:lncRNA from 1 species